UGGGGAAUUUUGGACAAUGGGCGAAAGCCUGAUCCAGCAAUGCCGCGUGUGUGAAGAAGGCCUUCGGGUUGUAAAGCACUUUUGUCCGGAAAGAAAUCCUCUGGGUUAAUACCUCGGGGGGAUGACGGUACCGGAAGAAUAAGCACCGGCUAACUACGUGCCAGCAGCCGCGGUAAUACGUAGGGUGCAAGCGUUAAUCGGAAUUACUGGGCGUAAAGCGUGCGCAGGCGGUUUUGUAAGACGGAUGUGAAAUCCCCGGGCUUAACCUGGGAACUGCAUUCGUGACUGCAAGGCUAGAGUAUGGCAGAGGGGGGUUAGAAUUCCACGUGUAGCAGUGAAAUGCGUAGAGAUGUGGAGGAAUACCGAUGGCGAAGGCAGCCCCCUGGGCCAAUACUGACGCUCAUGCACGAAAGCGUGGGGAGCAAACAGGAUUAGAUACCCUGGUAGUCCACGCCCUAAACGAUGUCAACUAGUUGUUGGGGAUUCAUUUCCUUAGUAACGUAGCUAACGCGUGAAGUUGACCGCCUGGGGAGUACGGUCGCAAGAUUAAACUCAAAUGAAUUGACGGGGUCAUAGCUG
rnacentral:rRNA from 1 species